rnacentral:rRNA from 1 species
AAUGAACACUGGCGGCAUGCCUAACACAUGCAAGUCGAGCGAGCGGCGGACGGGUGAGUAACGCCUGGGAAACCGACCGAUGGAGGGGGAUUACUACUGGAAACGGGAACUAAUACCCCAUACUAUCAGCUCUGCUCAGAUGGGAUUCGCUAGUAGGUCUGGUAAUGGCUCACCAAGGCGACGAUCCCUAGCUGGUCUGAGAGGAUGAGCAGCCACACUGGAACUGAGACACGGUCCAGACUCCUACGGGAGGCAGCAGUAGGGAAUAUUGGACAAUGGGCGCAAGUCUGAUGCAGCCAUGCCGCGUGUGUGAAGAAGGCCUUCGGGUUGUAAAGCUCUGUCGUCGGAGAGGCGUUAUCCGCAGAGGAAGCACCGGCUAACUCCGUGCCAGCAGCCGCGGUAAUUC